AUGUUUCCAGGUCAGUGGAACUCUACAUGUGCUGUCUUCAGGUCACAGCUUUUAAGUCUCGUCUGUGUCUCAAACCUGUAACAGGGCUGAGGAAAGACUGACUCAUAAAGAGAAGGAAGUAUGCAGCUGAGCAGAGGCAAUAUUGACUACUUCAACGUGGAACACCCGUAUUAUCUUCUCAGAGGGAUUCUGAUGCCUUUCUUCAUGACUGCAAGCUCUCCAACAGUUGUCUGAUGAAGACUCCAACCAAUAUUUUUUGUCUCAGUCAAAAGUCAUCAGUACCGUCAUACCUCACUCCUCAAGAAUUCCUCCUUCUUCAUUUAGAAGCCCCGAUGCUAGGAAGAUAUGCGAGUUCUUUGGAACUGUCUAAAGUCACCAACUAAAACUGGAUCAUGCAGUCACUUUGUAUAUACAAAGUAUGUCUCUUGUAGACAGAACAAAGUUGGAUCUAUUUAAUUUAGUCUGCCAAAUCCUGCUUUUUGAUUGGAGUGUGUAAUCCAACAAG